UUCUAGAGCUAAUACAUGCUAAAAGCCUCGACUUCGGAAGNGGCGUAUUUAUCAGAAUCAGAACCAAUGCCCUUCUGGGCUGUUUGGUGGCUCAUGAUAACUCCACAGAUCGCAUGGCCUUGCGCCGGCGAUGGCUCAUUCAAAUUUCUUCCCUAUCAACUUUCGACGGUACGGUCUUGGCCUACCGUGGUUGCAACGGGUGACGGAGGGUUAGGGCUCGACCCCGGAGAGGGAGCCUGAGAAACGGCUACCACAUCCAAGGAAGGCAGCAGGCGCGCAAAUUAUCCAAUCCCGACACGGGGAGAUAGUGACAAUAAAUACCGAUACAGGGCUCUUUUGGGCCCCGUAAUUGGAAUGAGUACAAUUUAAACCUCUUAACGAGGAACAAUUGGAGGGCAAGUCUGGUGGAAGCUGACGAGUCGAAGACGAGUCAUGAGAAGUCAUGGCGAGUUNNNNNNNNNNNNNNNNNNNNNNNNNNNNNNNNNNNNNNNNNNNNNNNNNNNNNNNNNNNNNNNNNNNNNNNNNNNNNNNNNNNNNNNNNNNNNNNNNNNNAGUCGUAGAUGAGUUCUGCUGGCGCCAGCAAGAGCGGGAGUGUGGUCUGUGAUAACAGCGCACUUCUGACCGCUAGUCGAGCAUUCAUUCAUGACGGGAGAAUGCCGGCGAGACAACCUGGAUCGGGGAAGGCUAAGGGUUUGCUCAAGGGCAGCCUAUGUUAAUCCCGAGCAGAGCUGUCAAGGAGUAAUUCUUGACAAGCCUGUGUAGAGCGCGCAAAGGUGUCGGUCGUACUGCAAUGCAGACGGCUUAAGGGACGUGCCGACCACCGCGAAAGCGGAUUCUGACUGAAGUGCCCGUCACACCAAGGUCAGGAAGCAUCGAGGACUGAGGACUUGAUGCCGGACAGAGUGAUGUCAGACGUGUUUAAUCAUGGAUGGUAUCACGGAUCGGCCAGCAGCCGCGGUAAUUCCAGCUCCAAUAGCGUAUAUUAAAGUUGUUGUGGUUAAAAAGCUCGUAGUCGAACCUGGAGCNCNNCCNGNNGGUCCGCCUCACGGCGUGCACUGAUUUGGNNGAGCUCUUCCCUCUGCGGAACCUCAUGUCCUUAACUGGGCGUGGUGGGGAGGCAGGACUUUUACUUUGAAAAAAUUAGAGUGCUCAAGGCAGGCCAAUGCUCGGAUACAUUAGCAUGGAAUAAUAGAAUAGGACGUUGGUUCUAUUUUGUUGGUUUCUAGGACCGCCGUAAUGAUCAAUAGGGACGGUCGGGGGCAUCAGUAUUCGGCCGCGAGAGGUGAAAUUCUUAGACCGGCUGAAGACUAACUACUGCGAAAGCAUUUGCCAAGGACGUUUUCGCUGAUCAGGAACGAAAGUUAGGGGAUCGAAGACGAUCAGAUACCGUCGUAGUCUUAACCAUAAACGGUGCCGACUUGGGAUCGGACGCUGUUUUUUUUUAGACGCGUUCGGCACCAUUCGAGAAAUCAAAGUGCGUGGGCUCCAGGGGGAGUAUGGCGGCAACGCUGAAACUUAAAGAAAUUGACGGAAGGGCACCACCAGGGGUGGAACCUGCGGCUUAAUUUGACUCAACACGGGGAAACUCACCAGGUCCGGACACAAUGAGGAUUGACAGAUUGAUAGCUCUUUCUUGAUUUUGUGGGUACGUAUUUAAACCUUUCCUUCCUCCCUGUAAAGGGAAAUAAUUUAUUGAGCAAUGCUAACAUGGUGUGUCAGGUGGUGGUGCAUGGCCGUUCUUAGUUGGUGGGGUGACUUGUCUGCCUAAUCGCGAUAACGAACGAGACCUUGACUGCUAAAUAGUACGAACCGCCUCGGCGGUUUCGCGGCUUCUUAGUGGGACUAUCGGCUCAAGCCGAUGGAAGUUCGAGGCAAUAACAGGUCUGUGAUGCCCUUAGAUGUCCUGGGCCGCACGCGCGUGACACUGACAGAGCCAGCGAGUUCUCCCUUGGCCGGAAGGCUCGGGUAAUCUUGUGAAACUCCGUCGUGAUGGGGAUAGAGCAUUGCAAUUGUUGCUCUUCAACGAGGAAUCCCUAGUAAGCGCAAGUCAUCAGCUUGCGUUGAUUACGUCCCUGCCCUUUGUACACACCGCCCGUCGCUACUACCGAUUGAAUGGCUCAGUGAGGUUUUCGGACUGGCCCAGGAAGGNGGGAGACUGCUAUCCAGGGCCGGAAAGUUACCCAAACUCGGUCAUUUAGAGGAAGUAAA
rnacentral:rRNA from 1 species